AAGGCAGGAAACUCUAAGUUGUAUAGUUUCGGCCUAUAAAAAGGCGCAAAGCGCCCCUGUCUUA
rnacentral:tRNA from 1 species